rnacentral:rRNA from 1 species
GAUGAACGCUGGCGGCGUGCUUAACACAUGCAAGUCGAACGGAAAGGCCGAAGCUUGCUUCGGUACUCGAGUGGCGAACGGGUGAGUAACACGUGGGUGAUCUGCCCUGUACUUCGGGAUAAGCUUGGGAAACUGGGUCUAAUACCGGAUAUGACGAUCUCUUGGAUGGGGUUGUGGAAAGCUUUUGCGGUAUGGGAUGAGCUCGCGGCCUAUCAGCUUGUUGGUGGGGUAAUGGCCUACCAAGGCGUCGACGGGUAGCCGGCCUGAGAGGGUGUACGGCCACAUUGGGACUGAGAUACGGCCCAGACUCCUACGGGAGGCAGCAGUGGGGAAUAUUGCACAAUGGGCGCAAGCCUGAUGCAGCGACGCCGCGUGGGGGAUGACGGCCUUCGGGUUGUAAACUCCUUCCGCAAUCGACGAAGCCUUUUGGUGACGGUAGGUUGAGAAGAAGCACCGGCUAACUACGUG